UACAGAGGUGGCGAGCGUUAUUCGGAAUUAUUGGGCGUAAAGGGCGCGUAGGCGGCUUGACAAGUCCCGGGUGAAAUCCCUCGGCUCAACCGAGGAACUGCCUUGGAAACUGUCUGGCUUGAGGCCGGGAGAGGGUAGUGGAAUUCCCAGUGUAGCGGUGAAAUGCGUAGAUACUGGGAGGAACACCGAUGGCGAAGGCAGCCCCCUGGGUCAAAACUGACGCUCAUGCACGAAAGCGUGGGGAGCAAACAGG
rnacentral:rRNA from 1 species